ACGAAGGAUGUUUCUUUCCCUUGGCUGGCCAGCAAAAGACGACUGUAAAAAUGAGCUGCUGUUUCAAUUUCUAAAGCAGUUUUGUCGCAUUCACUUGCUACAGUCCACUGAAACCCUGGCGGCCUCCGUAGCGCUAACUUUAUUGUGAAGCUUUGUGAAUAGCCCCAUAUCCCGUUGCAGUGCACAGACCACACGUUGUUGAGACGGCAUUACCUCUUUCUGGUCCAGACUAUACAACCUCCCCGCCCCCACCUCCUCCUCCGCCCGUCUAAUCACGGACUUCCUGGGAAAAUCAGGCAGCCGUUCAUCCUGAAGUGAGUGUUUAAAUUACAGGAUUUGAAGAGCUCCGGAUGGGAAAGUAACCCCCGAAUGCCUCUAACUAAACUCAGGUCUUGGAUCUUAACCUCGCGGCCUCACAUCUGUUUCGAGGGAAAAAGGGCGUUCGGACUCAAACGGAAGAAACUUCUGGUGUGCAUCAAAAGGUCGACUAGCAAAGCCUGAAGAUGCUUCCAUGUUCAAUGGCAUCAAAGUGACAGCAGCCUCAAUCACAUCCUGCGCCUGAUCCCAAGAAGAUAUGAAUAGGGUGAAGGCGGGCUUGAUGCAACUGAAAGGAACAAAACGUCUUAUUGUGUUAGCGAAGUCAGGCUGGAAUCAUACUGAAAAGAACUCCUUGUCACGAAAAGUACUCCAUCUGCAAUCAGAUGAAUAGGCUGCAUGCGUGUGUGUCUCAGCCUCAGGUCUAAUAGACUAGCAAUCUGAUUUUAACUUGUAAUUUGUGUUUUCUUCUGUUGCCAGAACUGGCAGAUGCAAGAGGGUGUCCGUUAAUGUUCAAGUUCAUUACUCCCUUCCAAAAGAGGCCUGAGCUGAUCAUAAUUGCAGAAGGAGUUUGAUCUUGAACUCUUUAUAUGUACAUUACAGCUUGCCUUCAUAUCUUGGUACAAUUGUGUCUUUUUCUGCUUUUUUAGAACAAAAACUGCUGCUUCAAAACAAAAUGUUGACCAUCACUUUCUGCAUCCGCAAUAUAACAGUAAUGCCAUAUAUUGUUAUAAAUCAUCUAUGUAAAUUGUUUUUCUGUGAUUUUAUCUGAGCUUUUAAUUGCAUAAGAGCAUAUUUUGAAAUCAACUGCAUAAAAUGAGUAAUUUAGGCAUGCAGGUGUUUGAAGAAUUGGUUUCCUAUUUAAUACCAUUGAUAGCUAGCCCCUGCACUUCAUUGUUACUAGAAUCAUUAUAAUCAAGAUCAAUUGAACCUGAGUACUAGAAAGUCAAAUGCACCAAAAUGUAGAAGCAAUAUUUUUAUAGUUGUGGAGGUAAAGGAAACAUCAAGUGCUAGAAAUCUGAAAUAAAAAUUGAAUAUCAAAUAAGGCAAAGAUAAUCCCAUCAAAAUACACAUUGAAGCUACACAUUCAGUUCGCUUUUCUUUCAGAUUGUGCUCCUGUGCAUUUGUUUCAUAUUUAUUUUUAUUCAAGGCCAUUUUUUAAAUGUUCAAUUAUCUUGUUUUCCAGAAUGCUGCAAUUUUCUACUAUUAAAUUUUAGUACCUUGGCUUUGAUUAUAACAAAAAUGUUAUAUAAUAUUUUUCAUAUCGUAGAAAUAGUCAAGAUGCUUCACAAAAGAAACACUUUUGAAUUGUAGUCAUCAUUUUGGUAAAUCUGGCAGAAAAUCUGCAUACAGCCAGAUCAGACAACUAGCACAAAGGAAACAAAAAAGUUGUUUUGAUGUUACUGACCAAGGUACAGAAGAAUUCUCUUCUUUGAAUAAUGCCAGAGUGUCUUUAACAUUCAUCUAAACAGGUAGACAGGGCCUCAAGUUUUAAUGUUUCAUCCAAGUGUCAGAAGCUCUGACAAUUCAGUAUUUCCUCUGUAUAGCUCUAAAUGAAAAUCUUGUAAAACUGCAAAAAUUGAUAAUUGCUAAGUGAUAACUGAGAGCCUGGUAAUUUAUACACAUGUAUUUACAAAGAAAUAACAGGCAACAGUGACAGGGCUAGAUUUGGCUAAUGUUGUAGAAAAAGUACCAAGCUGGGAGUGGAAAGAUGCCAAUUUACUAAGCCUAAAGACUGUGUCAGGAGCUACAUUAACCCAGAUGCAGAGAUGAUGAGGGUCGGGGUUAGGUCGUAUAACAGAGAUUCCAUGAAAUUUAAUAGAAAUGGUCUUCCAAAUUCAUUUUGACUGAUCUCAAAAUGAUCAGAGGGAGGGCUGGGAAAGGGAGGAGGGGUAGGGCCUUGACCUCCCCCCAUCCCCACCAUUGCCACUUGCUCAACCACUGACAGAGUUUUAUAUUCUUUUGAGGACUUAGAAGGCGGCGGUAAGCCGGUUCCUGGGACUGCUGAAGUUUAUGUGGUGUACAAGUGAAGAAGCUUGUAACAUUUCAAUGAUAUGACAACUGUUUCUUUCCUUUAAUCAGAUGGUAUUAUUUUCAUGUACAUUCUGAUGAAGGUACACAACAAACAGAAGAGCAGUCUGGUGUAAAAAUAUUUAUUUUGAGAGUGGCUAAUUUCAAAGAAGUGAGACCAUACCUCUGCCAGGUCAAUCAGAUUCAAAGACUAACAAGCAAAAUUGUAAAAGAACAAUGGGCCGUCUUUUAAAAAGGCUAAAAUUCAGGUUCAGUUAAGGUUCAUUCCCAUGAUGGUGACAGAUGAGACAACCAAACCCAGAAUUCUCUACAUAACAAGAAAGAUAGAGAGUAAGAUGAAGUAGGAAGAGAGUGCGUAUGACAGAUGUCAGUUUGGUAAUUAAAGUGAGAACCAGUGUGAUUACAAGGAUGAGAGGGGAAGUGCAAAAGUGAAAUAGGAGAGGCAGAUAUGAGAAGAAAAUUGGCAGCAACAUAAAAAAGAAUCAAAAAUUUUCUAUAGGCAUUUAAAUAGUAAAAAAAAAAGAUAGUAAGAAGAGGGACAGCAGUGAUUAGGACCUAUAAACGGGAUCUACACAUGGUGGCAGUGAGUGUGGCUAAGGUACUAAGUGAACACAUUGUCUUUACCAUGGAAAAACUACCCUUAACUUUGUACAACUAAAAGUAGUACACAGAGACCUCCCAACUCAAAUAACAUCCAAAAACCAAAGAAAAACAAGUUAUUGUUACAAUUGGAGUGAAAACACAAGCACAACAUGAAAUCUUAUUGUCCUGCAAAUACUACUGAAUCAAAGUGAACUGUGAAUAUAAACUCUUAAGUAUAAUAAUUAUUGAGAAUUGUCUUCUUUGCAGUGCUUUUCCAGACAAUGGUGACUAAUUAUACAAAUCAAAGAAUGUUUGUAUUUAUUGUAUUUUAAAUGCUGAAAUUAAAGCUUCAGAUAAAGUACACAUAUGAGCUUGAAUUUUGUUUAAUUUUGGUGACCUGACUGUUCAGUUGAUAUAUUGAUUAAAGUGGAAACCGAGUUUCAGAGUUUGCAGGAUUAAAAACCCACAGUCAAGAACCUAGAACUAAUUUGAUCUAAUUGUACACAUACCCCAUAAGGUCAUUUGCUGGCAGCAACUUUAUAAAUACCUGUGAUUUGAUUGAGUAUUUUAGAUUUCCAAACUUAACUGUUGAUACAAAACUUAUUUUUCAUUGGAUAUUUUAAAAUUAAUAAAUUCAGUGGUUUCUUUUAACAAUUAGAGAUCAGAUUUAUUGUGAACUAUUUAAUGUCACUUAAAUUACAUUCCAAACUUACCCCAGCAUUAUCAGUUCCUGGAAUAGAUUGCAUCAGUUUAUUUUUACACACUACACCUUACUGUUCUGUCAUAUGUUUUAUCCACCACGUAAAAACAUGAUCACACUCGAAGUUGCACAAAUGCAUGUACUUAUAUAGCACCCUAGACUGCAGCAUGAAGGAACGGUUGGGCCUUUGAAUUUUAGAACAAUGAGGUGAUAUUAUUAAAACGUAUAAGAUUCUGAGGGGACAUCUCAGGUCAAAUGAUGAAGGGAUGUUUCCCCUUGUAGGAGACAACUAGGGAACACAGUUUUAAAAUAGAAUGGUUUCUCAUUAUAGAUGGAGAGGUGAAGAUUUUUUUCUCUGUGUCAUUAGUGUCUGGAUUUCAAUUCCGCAAAGAUCAGUGGAAGCAAAUUCAUUGAGUGCCUUUAAAGCUGAGUUGUUUAGGUUCUUGGUUGAAAAGGGAGUCAAGGGAUACAAACAAGCAGAGGCCUCAAUCAGACCAACCAUAAUCUAACUGAAUGGCAGAGGAAGCAUGGAUGUGCCAAAUGGCCUCCUCUUGCUCUCAAUUUGUGUGUUUUAAUGUGCACAAAAACACAACAUUGACGCAAACAGUCCAGAAUGGGUUAUAUAGAUAGAGAUCAUCUGCAGGCAUGGAUUCCAGCACUACGUACCCACCUUAUAAUACCAUAUUUCAGCAUAAAAUAGGAUUAUAAAAAUGUCAACUGCAGCCAAGCCUGUAAUACAAUACAGCCAUUGUACUAAAACAUUGUCACAUAUUGAUAGCAGUUCAAUGUUAUGUCUAAAUCAAUCCCAAUAAAUAAGCAAUCAAAACUAUACAGGCCAAGUCCUUGUAUGUAAUAACCUCUUUAUAUAUCACUUGUUCUAAAUACCUAUUUUUCAAGGAACAAAUAAUUAAUAAAAUUUGAGUCACGUUUAACGGCAUUUAAUAUCUGUCAACUUAACAAAUGUAUUAUGAUGACUGCUUUCAUAUUGAUUUGGCCUGAAAACUUACUUGAAUUUGUAAAACUGUCUUACAACAAAGUUGUGCUCUCAAAUUACCUUUCCCUUCCCCUCUUUUCUUCAGCUCAGAUACUAGCAGUUGGUCUUGAAUGAUUAAACAUAACAAUUUGCAAAGAAGUGGCAUAUUACAAUCCAACCAUCACUAUGGGUUAUAGCAAAUUUCUAGUAAACAGGAGAUCCCAAGUUCAAAUCACAUUGGUGCCUCUCUCACUCUCCUUUGAAAAAAGGCUUAAAAAGGGCAUCUUAUGAUGCAGUGAUAACAUUGCUAAUUCAAGAAUUACCUGCCCCAGAGAUAUGUCUAAAUAGAUUAACUUUAAAAAUAUUUUUAAUAAUAUAUCUGUCAGUAUCGGUAUAGCAGGAAUCUUCUGGUCAAGUAUACAGGUUACACAAACCAGAUGCACAUGGUGGAAUUUAAGGCCCUCCACUGUGGUGAGUUUAGUGUUGAAGGUUUUAAUUAGGUGAGAGGAUGACCAGUAUGGCUCCCAUCACCUUUGUGCCUCCAACAAGAAGAAUGUGGAUGGCAAUUAAUGACACUUAAGGGCUACAACCUGUAGCUGGUGAUAUUAAUGCAGCAGAGGGCUAGGGGGCUGAUCAUGUGGACAGCAUGACAAGAAAACCCAUGCAGUGUUGCGUGUGGGCUACUGGGUGGAGAGAAGGGUGUGGCUUUAUUCAAAGGCACUCAAUGCAUUACCAAGGGAUACUGCAUGAGGAGGUGGGUGCAUGUACUGAGAAUCUCCCCAACUCCCUGUAAACAUCCUUCUGUCAUCACUCAUCUGGCCUGGGAUCCAGAAACAGUGUUUGGCCUUGGGUCACUGUAAUAUUGGCAACAACCACUGCUUCCCCAGUAGCAAUGCUGAGUAAUAAAGCUAGCUGCUUCUGAUUUGCUAGUUACAAGAGACACCACAUAUCCAAUGCUGCACAAAUUAUAAUUGUUCAGUCGGAUCAAAUCUAUGUAGAAAAAUUAUGACUCUGAAAUUCUGUGUCCUCUUAUCACACCAGCAUAAAAUCUACAGAAACGGAAAAAAAAAGUCUUCCAUUUAAAUAGUACCUUUCAGGCCCUGAGGAUCUGCUGAAAUUCUUUACAGCCAAUUAGCUAUGAUUUUUGAAGUAUAACCAUUGUUGUAAUAUAGGACAUACGACAGACCAUUUCCAGAUCAUCUGUUUUAUGAAUGUUGCUAUUUCCAGAUCAUCUGUUUUAUUAAUGUUGCUUGAAAUAUAUAUAUUGGCUAGGAAAAUCGAAGAACUACCCUGCACUUCUUCAAAAUAGUGCCAUUGUAUCUUUUAUGUCUACCUGAGAGGACAGACAGGACCUUGAUGUGGCAGAUGUGGUGCUCAAGUGGAAGUUAAUCACAGAACCAGUUGCCUCAGGAGCAGGAGGGCCACCAACUUGUAACAUCGCCUUCUCAUUGUUAUUGUACUGAGAUCACUGCUGAACUCUUGCUGGAGUGAUGACAGACUCGUAAGCUAUGAAUGUACCUUGAUACAACAAAUAACUUUGGGAUGCUUGUGUUCGUUGAAAUGAUGAUAAACUAAAUAAAGUACAUUUUUGAAUUUCA